rnacentral:rRNA from 1 species
UAGGGAAUCUUCGGCAAUGGGGGGAACCCUGACCGAGCAACGCCGCGUGAGAGAAGACGGUUUUCGGAUCGUAAAGCUCUGUUGUUAAGGAAGAACGAGUGUGCGAAUGGAAAGUUCAUACUGUGACGGUACUUAAUCAGAAAGGGAUGGCUAACCACGUGCCAGCAGUCGUGGUAAUACGUAGGUCCCGAAUGUUGUCCGGAGUGAUUGGGCGUAAAGCGAACGCAGGCGGUUAGAUAAGUCUGAAGUUAAAGGGAAUGGCUCAACCAGUGUAGGCUUAGGAAACUGUUUAACUGGAGAGCAGUAGGGGAGAGGGGAAUUCCAUGUGUUGCGGUGAAAUGCGUAGAUAUAUAGAGGAACACCGGUAUCGAGAGCGGCUCUCUAGUCUAUUACUGACGCUAAGGCUCGAAAACGUGUGGAGCGAUCAGG